AUUGAACGCUGGCGGCAUGCUUUACACAUGCAAGUCGAACGGUAACAGGGAGCUUGCUCCGCUGACGAGUGGCGAACGGGUGAGUAAUGCAUCGGAACGUACCCAGUCGUGGGGGAUAACGUAGCGAAAGUUACGCUAAUACCGCAUACGUCCUGAGGGAGAAAGCGGGGGACCGUAAGGCCUCGCGCGAUUGGAGCGGCCGAUGUCGGAUUAGCUAGUUGGUGGGGUAAAGGCCUACCAAGGCGACGAUCCGUAGCGGGUCUGAGAGGAUGAUCCGCCACACUGGGACUGAGACACGGCCCAGACUCCUACGGGAGGCAGCAGUGGGGAAUUUGGACAAUGGGGGCAACCCUGAUCCAGCCAUGCCGCGUGAGUGAAGAAGGGCCUUCGGGUUGUAAAAGCUCUUUCAGAACGGAAAGAAAACGCAUCGGUGAAUACCCGGUGUGGAUGACGGUACCGUAAGAAGAAGCACCGGCUAACUAACGUGCCCAGCAGCCCGCGGUAAAAUCACGUGUACUAC
rnacentral:rRNA from 1 species